rnacentral:rRNA from 1 species
GGCAGCAGUGAGGAAUAUUGCCCAAUGGGCGCAAGCCUGAGGCAGCAACGCCGCGUGGGGGAUGAAGGCCUUCGGGUCGUAAACCCCUUUUCUGCGGGAAGAGAAAGGACGGUACCGCAGGAAUAAGUCUCGGCUAACUACGUGCCAGCAGCCGCGGUGAAACGUAGGAGGCAAACGUUAUCCGGAAUUACUGGGCGUAAAGCGCGCGCAGGCGGCUUUGUAAGUCCGACGUGAAAGCUCCCGGCUUAACUGGGAGAGGCCGUUGGAAACUGCAGAGCUUGAGGUUGGGAGAGGAAAGUGGAAUUCCCGGUGUAGUGGUGGAAUGCGCAGAUAUCGGGAGGAACUCCAGUGGCGAAGGCGACUUUCUGGCCUACACCUGACGCUGAGGCGCGAAAGCGUGGGGAGCGAACAGGAUUAGAUACCCUGGUAGUCCACGCUGUAAACGAUGUGAACUAGGUGUUAGCGGUAUCGACCCCGCUAGUGCCGUAGCAAACGCGUUAAGUUCACCGCCUGGGGACUACGGCCGCAAGGCUAAAACUCAAAUGAAUUGACGG